CGGGGCGUAGCGCAGCUCGGUAGCGCACUUGCAUGGGGUGCAAGGGGUCGAGUGUUCGAAUCACUCCGUCCCGA
rnacentral:tRNA from 1 species